GAGUAACACGUGGGGAACUGCCCAGAGGCAGGGGAUAACACUUUGGAGACAGGUGCUAAUACCGUAUAACAACAAAAUCCGCAUGGAUUCUGUUUGAAAGGUGGCUUCGGCUAUCACUUCUGGAUGAUCCCGCGGCGUAUUAGUUAGUUGGUGAGGUAAAGGCCCACCAAGACGAUGAUACGUAGCCGACCUGAGAGGGUAAUCGGCCACAUUGGGACUGAGACACGGCCCAAACUCCUACGGGAGGCAGCAGUAGGGAAUCUUCCACAAUGGACGAAAGUCUGAUGGAGCAAUGCCGCGUGAGUGAAGAAGGGUUUCGGCUCGUAAAACUCUGUUGUUAAAGAAGAACACCUUUGAGAGUAACUGUUCAAGGGUUGACGGUAUUUAACCAGAAAGCCACGGCUAACUACGUGCCAGCAGCCGCGGUAAUACGUAGGUGGCAAGCGUUGUCCGGAUUUAUUGGGCGUAAAGCGAGCGCAGGCGGUUUUUUAAGUCUGAUGUGAAAGCCUUCGGCUUAACCGGAGAAGUGCAUCGGAAACUGGGAGACUUGAGUGCAGAAGAGGACAGUGGAACUCCAUGUGUAGCGGUGGAAUGCGUAGAUAUAUGGAAGAACACCAGUGGCGAAAGGCGGCUGUCUAGUCUGUAACUGACGCUGAGGCUCGAAAGCAUGGGUAGCGAACAGGAUUAGAUACCCUGGUAGUCCAUGCGUAACGAUGAGUGCUAAGUGUUGAGGGUUUCGCCCUCAGUGCUGCAGC
rnacentral:rRNA from 2 species